CCUACGGGAGGCAGCAGUGGGGGAUAUUGCACAAUGGGGGGAACCCUGAUGCAGCGACGCCGCGUGGGUGAAGAAGCGCCUCGGCGCGUAAAGCCCUGUCAGCAGGGAAGAAAAUGACGGUACCUGAAGAAGAAGCCCCGGCUAACUACGUGCCAGCAGCCGCGGUAAUACGUAGGGGGCAAGCGUUAUCCGGAUUUACUGGGUGUAAAGGGGGCGCAGACGGCGGUGCAAGCCAGGAGUGAAAGCCCGGGGGCCAACCCCGGGACUGCUCUUGGAACUGCGUGGCUGGAGUGCAGGAGGGGCAGGCGGAAUUCCUGGUGUAGCGGUGAAAUGCGUAGAUAUCAGGAGGAACACCGGGGGCGAAGGCGGCCUGCUGGACUGCAACUGACGUUGAGGCCCGAAAGCGUGGGGAGCAAACAGGAUUAGAUACCCGUGUAGUC
rnacentral:rRNA from 1 species